rnacentral:rRNA from 1 species
ACGGAAGGCAGCAGUGGGGAAUAUUGCACAAUGGGCGCAAGCCUGAUGCAGCAACGCCGCGUGAGGGAAGACGGUUUUCGGAUUGUAAACCUCUGUCUUUGGUGAAGAAGCAAGUGACGGUAGCUAAGGAGGAAGCCACGGCUAACUACGUGCCAGCAGCCGCGGUAAUACGUAGGUGGCAAGCGUUGUCCGGAAUUACUGGGUGUAAAGGGAGCGCAGGCGGGACUGCAAGUUGGAUGUGAAAUACCGAGGCUUAACCACGGAGCUGCAUCCAAAACUGUAGUUCUUGAGUGAAGUAGAGGCAAGCGGAAUUCCGAGUGUAGCGGUGAAAUGCGUAGAUAUUCGGAGGAACACCAGUGGCGAAGGCGGCCUGCUGGGCUUUAACUGACGCUGAGGCACGAAAGUGUGGGGAGCAAACAGGAUUAGAUACCCUGGUA